CAGGGAGAAUGAGAAUAGAAGAGAAAGGAAAAGAAGAUCAAAACUUGUAAUUCCACCAUGGCCGAGAAUCAACAAGCUCUGACACCAUUGUUACGUGAUUUUCCAACCACAGGAACACAAUAAUAGGAAGAACGAAGAAUAAAAGGAGAAUCAAUAGAAUUCAAAGAGAGAGAGACACUUCUUCAUUGAUCUAUUAUCCAAGAUACAUCAUGCGAAUAUUCUUUCAUUAUUUAUACAACUGGUAGCUAUAGAAAAGUAGCUAAAGAAGAAUGAUGAAUGCUCUGCUUCUUCCCAUAUUCUACGCUACAGCUGACAUGCUUCUUCUUUGCAUCGGUGAAUAGUAAGACAGCUCAAAACCAUUUUAUUAACAGCAUAUUCCCGUGUCACCAGCCAAAUUCUUUCUUCCAUUAUCAUUCUCAAGUAUUUCAGCGUUGGGUAUCUGUGAGAGUUGUGACCUUUGAAAGAAACUUGUUUCGCGGUUCGGUAUUGUACGAGGCGAUGUGAAAACAAAAGGAGAAUUGACUCCUAAGAAUCCUUGAGCCACAUGUGCAGCUUCCAGAGGCUUUAUUGGAGAUAAAUUGCUUAUGUAAUGUGAAAAAGGAGAUUCCUGAGAACAAAGGAAAAGUGAUGAACACAAUUUCACCAUUGUUUAAGGUGUACAUGAAAAAGCUUCUAUCGUGUAGAAUCUAUGCUUGUCGAAGGUUUACGGCCAAAACUGGCAUUCUAAAAUUGAUAACUAACUGCCAAACCUUUUGGUGGUUGCUCGAUUAAAAUAUAAAAACCUCCAAUGGAGUGCAUGGGCACCAGUGAAUGCAAGAAAAAUGAAGAGAAAAACAAAUUCUCUCCCUUCUUCGAUUCUCCUCUCACUUGCAGUAUGAUUCUUUGUGAAAUUUUCUGCAUUGCCGAAGUUUUAGGCUGUGGAAAGAAGGGCAAUUUCCGCUUUGUGAUUUCGUCCUUCAACUAGUAUGGUUCAUAACUCAAUUCAGUAUGUUUUUGGUUUAAAGCUUCCACAAUUUCGACUUCCAACAUUUGCCAAUCCCGAUUACCUACUCACAAAAUCUCGAUGGAAGGGAAACAAAAGUAAGAAGUCACAUUUUACCAGACAGCAGAAAAAUAAAAGCCUUCAUAGGCAUUUCUUUUCAUUUGGGUUUAGGUAGCUUCAGAGGUGGAUAGUAAAAGAGGGUUCGAUUGACCCUCGUUUUUUUGAAUUAGUCAUAAGUAUUUAUAUAUUUGUUUAAUUGACCUUAUAAAUUUAGGUGUUAGUUGAAUACUCUUUUUUAAUAAUAAGAAAUCAAUUGAUCCUGUAUAUUUAACAAAUUAUCAUAUGUACAUAGUACACCAUGUGCACUUUCAACUACAAAGAUACAAAGAUGAGAGUCUCAUCUUUUUAAGAGUUAACUAGAUAUGUAUGAAUAUUCAAUCUACUUACACUGAAUAAAAUUUUUUUUCUUGAUCCGCCAUAAAGAAGAACCUUGAAUUGCUACAAACUUGAACAAAAGCUCAUGCACUCUUUGAUAUAUAAAGCACAUUUCAGAUCCACCAUUUUAAGGCAUCCCUCCAAAACCAAUGCAAAUGCGAAUGAUCAACCAAUCCUAAUUUAGAUUCCACCCCAGCAACAAAGUUGGAAAAACAUCAGACGCAUCAACUAUACAAAAUCUAGCACACCACCAAAAGCAAGUCAGAUUCCACCCCACCAACAAAGUUGGAAAAGCAUCAGGCACUGAUCAACAACUGCUCAACAAAGGCAAGUUUGCUUAGUUAAAAGAUAUGUACAAGCUCAACAAAAUCCUAGUGACCCACUUGCACCAAAUCCUAACCACAUUGAGAAAUAAAAUAAAUAAAAUUUUCCACAAACUAUCCCUAAAUCCAAGCCACCAAAGCUUAAAUCCAUCAAACAAGUUGGGAAAAAAAGGAGAUUUAAAAACAAUCGAUGAUAAACAAAAUUCUCCAGCAAAUAAUGAAAAUAAUAGAAAAAUCCAAGUCCAAACAUAGAGAAGAAAAAUUAAAACCCAAAAUUGAAGUAAAAUAAUAAUUGAAAAUGCGAAUACUUGAACAGGAGAGGAAUCGGAAAAAGUAGCGGCAAUGACAUUGGCGGUGGUGGAGGUGGCAGUAUUAGCAGAUUGAGGUGAACCCAUGGACUGAUACCCUAAUUAUUUUAACCCUACAAGCCACUCUUUGCAUC
rnacentral:misc_RNA from 1 species